rnacentral:rRNA from 1 species
AGAAUCAACGCUGGCGGCGUGCCUAACACAUGCAAGUCGAACGGGAAGGGGGGCUUCGGCUCCCCCGAGAGUGGCGUACGGGUGAGUAACACGUGGGUAAUCUGCCUUUGGGUGGGGAAUAACAAUCCGAAAGGGUUGCUAAUACCGCAUAACGCAGCGGCACCGCAUGUGACAGUUGUUAAAGCGGGGGAUCGCAAGACCUCGCGCCUGAAGAGGACGCCCGCGCCCGAUUAGCUAGUUGGCGGGGUAAGACGCCCACCAAGGCUUCGAU